GCGCGAGGCUGCGGCGAGAGGAGCGGCACGGAGCGGCGCGCUCUCUGCGAGGACGCUGGUCUCAGGACAGCCCUCGAAGCCCGCUUCCUCCGAUCCCCCCUCCCCUCCCCAGACACCCUUUCCCCCCCGCGGCGAAGUUGACACUUGUCCGAAUCCCAGCCUGGGGGCCCUCGCCUUUCCUUUUACCUGCUCCCUUGAGAAGCCUAACCCGGUCACCAGCCCGCCCCAGAUCAUCCCGAGCUGACAGCUGCUCCUGCUUCCGAGGAGGCGGGGGGGCCUCCUCUCUCAGCCCUUUCCCUGCUUUGCCUGCCCCGCCCCGGGCUGCCCUCCCAACUCGCGCUUCCUUUGAUCCUGACGACGCAGUUGGCAAUCCAGGGUUUUUCCUUGUUGGGUGCCUUUCAAACCCGCGUUAUCAUCACUCACGCAGGUCUUACCCACUGCUUCCCCCAGAAUCUAGCCCCAUAGAGACAGAGGGGGGCUCAUCAGCCUUUUCAACUUGGAACUUUCCAGAAGCCUUGUAUUUUCCUAAUAAUCCUCGCCUUGCAGGUGUAGGUAUUUAUACAAAUUUCCAUUAACUCUUGUGGCUUUCGGUGAACAGCUCCGUGCUGUUUUAUGGGCUGAGACUCAGGCAGAGAGACACCAGAGCUGGUCUGUUACAGGGUAUAGAGCUGCUUCCCACGUGCAACCACUUAAUCCUCCAGACAGCCCUAGGGAGUGGGCGGGCAGGUUUUGGUUGUGAUUAGGAGAGGCUCAUGACCGGUGAGUGGCGUAGGGCCCAGUCGGCUUGAGCCCUCACUGGUGCUGAGAGGGGCGCAGGCCCUUGGCGAAGAAAAGGCCAGGGCCUUCAUUUCAUCUUCGCCACCUCUCUGGGCUCCAACUGCCGCCUCCCUCUCUUCCUGAGUAUGAGAAGAUUUCUGUGUUUUGGUUUCCUCUCCGGCACAGGCUGUUGACCCUGCCAUUGAACUGCCCAGGUUCCUGUCACCUCCUUGUGCUUCUCUGUCAGGCCUCAACUUGAGACUCAGCAGCUGCUCGUUACUGCUGGGGGCUGGCUUAUCUGCAGUGACCUUUCCUCUUCCUUCUAACCCACUGUGUCUAAUCUGCAGGGUGUGGAAAAACCGACAGCUCAGCUUGUGCCUAAACACGAGUGCAGGUGCUCAUGAUUCUGCGUUAAAGCACACACAGCGUCUGUAGCUUCGUAGUUUCUGUGUGAUGCUGCGCAAGCUCUUUGCUGCUUGAUGGGUUGUAGCUGAGUUCCAGGUGAGCGCUCUCUUUCUGCGCAUGGGCCGGGCACUCACUAAGCCAGAGAGGCCGGGUGGAGGAUGCCCGUUUCGUCUUGUCCAGACUGGGAGGCUUCGUUGGUGAGGGGUGCUGGGACAGCAGACGUUAACCUGGGCUGACCCAGGAGGCCAUGCGCGUGACCCUGUGGGAAGGCGCUGGGCGCCAGAGGGUGUCCUGGGACCCCGCGCGCUCUCUCUGCCUGCUUCCUGCCACGCUUUGGCACCCAGGCUCUGGGUAUGGUUUGGGUCUUAUGUGAUGUGGUGGAAACGCCCCUGAGUUAGUUCCAGGAAGGUCUGGCUGCAGACUUGGCCCCACAUUUAUAGCCACGUGACCUCAUAGGCAUGGGGGAUGUCUCCUGCGUGACGGGGAUAUUUGGGGAAUUACUAGGCAUCCUGAAUUGGAAUGGGCCAGGUACUGGUGUGGGUCCCUGGGCCCCUGUGGGGCUCUGGGGUCUUCAGCCAGAGGCCUCAUCCCUGGCGUCCAUCUGGGGCCAGACUGGCGCUGUCUCUUGCCCGCCUGUUGCUCAGCAGCACCGUCACCGGGGUCAUGUGGGUUUGGUUCGUUCUCUGCUUAGCCACUGUCUCUUUCAGUUCAGCGCGCGUCGAUGGGGGCUCUGCUUUAUCUGGGGGAGCACUGGGCUGGUAGAGGCACAGAGAUGCUUGAGAGGUGGGCCCUGCGGGGAGAAGGACGGCACACUCACAGCCACAUUCCUGUCUGAUAAGGACAGCGGGCAGCAUACAGAGGCGGGGGUGGGGGAAGGCCUAGGCAGAAAGCAGCCGGGAGAGGGGCCCGGCCAGGCUCUGCCAGAGGCUGUUUGUCACGGAGAGCGGAGGGCGAGCGGGGAGUCAGUUCUGGGAGUGAGGAGGUGCGGCCAGAGCUCCUGCAGAGGCUCCUCUGGUAACUCCUCAGGCCGGCCAGGCAUUGCCUUGCCCCCGCUGAGCCUGUGUGCACGCUGCAUCAGCCACGUGUUCAGAGGCUGGAUUCUGGUCCCCAGCGUCCCAACCAGAGCCCCUGAUGGUGGCGACCAGUGGUCAGGAGGCUGGGGGCGCAGCCAGGGCAGGCCUCGCACUUGAGAGUAGAUACCUCAGAUUUCACAGUCUCCUAUGGAGGAACUGUAUGUAUUAAUAAGAAAAUGAUGUUUGUUUGUUUUGUCUUUUUAGGGCCACACUUGUGGCAUACGGAGGUUCCCAGGCUAGGGGUCCAAUUGGAGCUGUGGCCACCAGCCUACACCACAGCCAUAGCGACUCGGGAUCCGAGCCGCAUCUGUGACCUACACCAUAGCUCAUGGCAACACCGGAUCCCUAACCCACCGAGUGGGGCCAGGGAUCGAACCUGCAUCCUCAUGGGUGCUGGUCGGGUUCGUUAACUGUGAGCCACGACGGGAACUCUGAAAAUGUUUAAACUCACUCGACAGUCGGGUGAUUUCACUUUUGCUCAGCAGACCCUUCCUGCUAAUGACUCUGGACAACAUGCUCCAUUCUGUGGUUGUUGGGACCCCACCGUGUGGGGGAUUCACUGCCGAGGUCCAGCCCCAGCAGCCAGGGAGUGCCGAAGGAGAGGAUGGGCUACAAACGGCGCGGAAAGAAUUGGAGCCAACUCCUCAGCUGCAUGCUGCAGAUGACCCAAUUUAUUAAAUGAAAAGCAUCAGUUUUUAUACCUUAUCACAAUCAGGUUCCGUGUAAGAUUUGACAUUAACAUUUGAUUUAAAGCCCUUUUGUUCCCUCCACCCGAGAU
ensembl:lncRNA